rnacentral:rRNA from 1 species
GCACGGACCAAGGAGUUUAUCGUGUACGCAAGUCAUUGGGUAAAUGAAACCCAAAGGCGAAAUGAAAGUAAAGAGUAGUGUUAUUGGAUUUUAUUCUUUAACCCUCUUGAGGGAAGAUAGAAAUCUUGUAAAUAAAAAUGUUUUUUAUUCUAUAGAAAAUAUUUGUUUAUGUAGAUUUCUGGCAUUCCCGGGGCGCUUUGUUUUACGCUUUGCGUAUCGAUGCGCACCUAGAGCGUACACGCUGAUACCCGAAAGAUGGUGAACUAUGCCUGGCCAGGACGAAGCCAGGGGAAACCCUGGUGGAGGUCCGCAGCGAUUCUGACGUGCAAAUCGAUCGUCGGAGCUGGGUAUAGGGGCGAAAGACCAAUCGAACCAUCUAGUAGCUGGUUCCCUCUGAAGUUUCCCUCAGGAUAGCUUGCGCUCGGUUGAGACGAGUCUCAUCCGGUAGAGCGAAUGAUUAGAGGCAUUGGGGUCGAAACGACCUCAACCUAUUCUCAAACUCCAAAUAGAUGAGAACCCCGGCUUUCUUAAAAUUGAAGCCGUGGGAUUCGGAUCAGAGUGCCAAGUGGGCCAAUUUUGGUAAGCAGAACUG